rnacentral:tRNA from 1 species
AUUUAUUUAAUUAAACUUAAAUAUUAAUAUUAUAAAUUAAUAAUAUUAUUAUAUUAUAAUAAAUA